rnacentral:rRNA from 1 species
AGUGAACGCUGGCGGUAGGCCUAACACAUGCAAGUCGAACGGCAGCACAGUAAGAGCUUGCUCUUACGGGUGGCGAGUGGCGGACGGGUGAGGAAUACAUCGGAAUCUACUUUUUCGUGGGGGAUAACGUAGGGAAACUUACGCUAAUACCGCAUACGACCUACGGGUGAAAGCAGGGGAUCUUCGGACCUUGCGCGAUUGAAUGAGCCGAUGUCGGAUUAGCUAGUUGGCGAGGUAAAGGCCCACCAAGGCAACGAUCCGUAGCUGGUCUGAGAGGAUGAUCAGCCACACUGGAACUGAGACACGGUCCAGACUCCUACGGGAGGCAGCAGUAGGGAAUAUUGGGCAAUGGGCGAAAGCCUGACGCAGCAACGCCGCGUGAGUGAUGAAGGUCUUCGGAUCGUAAAACCCUGUUAUUAGGGAAGAACAAAUGUGGAAGAAAAUAUGCAUGUCCUGACGGUACCCAAACAGAAAGCCACGGCUAACUACGUG